rnacentral:rRNA from 1 species
GUGACCUGCGGAGGAUAUUG